CAAGAUGGUUGAAUUAUAAACAAUAAACUGUAAAUUUAUUUAUGGGCUAUAUCCCUCUUG
rnacentral:tRNA from 1 species